AUGGAAAAUAUAGAAGGAGAUCAGAUAAACCAAAAGGAACAACGAAAGGAAUUGACAUGCGAAGCCGAUGAAACAGCUAAUGAAACGCUCCCAAGGCGAUCAGAACGGCCCAGUGUGCCCACAGAGAAAAUGCUCUUAUAUCAAAGGGAUGAACAGAAUAAAAGAGAGAAGAAACUGCUAACCAUUUAUGAACAUUGGAAAGGCCAGGUCAGAGUAUACAGAGAAGACCUGAAAAGUGAUCUAUCAGAUUCACGGUUAGCAGAAAUGGCUGAUGAUAUUGAAAGGACAGUAAAUGACAUGAUGAAAGCAUACAGUGAAUACAGAGAGCGUAAUGAACCAUCCCAUGUCAUAAGGCGCAAAAUGGACUCUUGUGAAUCAGUGACAAAGGACAUUAUGAAAAUCAUAUCUGAGCAUUUAGCAGCUAUAGAUGAGUAUGAUGCAGAUAGAGAAAGGCAGCGCCUCCAUCAGCUCUUAGCUUAUGAACAUGCUAAGUCCAUAUUUGGUACUGCAUCACAGUCAAGUUACCAAUCUGAAGCAAGCAUUGCAGCCAAAAGAAUCGAUGCUGUUGCAGAAUUAGCUGCAAAAGAAGCUCAGUAUAAAAUCACACAAGAGGAAAAAAAACAAAAACAAAAAAUAAGAGAAAUGGAAGAGAAACACAGGAGGGAAUUGGAUGCACAAAAGUCUGAACUAGAGCGUUUACAAGCAGAAAAGGAAAGGCAAGCAGCACGUGCAAAAUUAGAGAUUUAUGACAAGGAAUUUAAAGUUGAUAUGGACAGUCAGUUAAUGUUACAGAGCAAUGGGAUGUCUGUUAUCAACCAAAGCUUUGCACAACCAGCCUUAGAGCUCUCUACAGGUUCAUAUCACCCACAUGUGGAAAAAUAUGCAUCCAUCCCUGUCAAUAAUCCUCUACAACAACUGCACUCGCAAAUUGUCACUCCAUCGCCUCCCACAGAUGUAUUCCAGCUGGCUAAAGCUAUUCAAGACAGCAUAGCAGUAAACAGAAUUCCAGUGCCAGUGCCCGUUGUGUUCAGCGCAGAUCCCAUCACCUACAUUGAAUGGAAGGCUUCCUUCAUCUCACUGGUGGGCCACAAAGGUAUAUCUCCAGCUGAAAAACUACAUUUGUUAAAAAGGUAUAUCACUGGUCCUGCUCUUAAGUGUCUUGAGGGCACAUUCUACCGCAGUGAUGAAGAGGCAUACAAAGAUGCAUGGAAAAGACUUGACCAACGCUACGGUCAGCCAUUUGUUGUUCAAAAGGCAUUCAGAGACAAAUUGUCAAAGUGGCCUAAAAUCCACUCAAAAGAUGCAGAAGGUCUACGGGCCUUUUCUGAUUUUCUCACAACCUGUCUGCAAGCAACACCACAUUUAAAGGGCUUAGAGAUACUAAGUGACUGUGAGGAAAACCAAAAGUUAUUGCAAAAGGUUCCAGAAUGGCUCACAACACGUUGGAAUCGUCAAGUCACAGUUGCUCUCAUGAAAGGCAAAGACUUUCCCUCUUUCAAGGAUUUUGCAGAGUUUGUAGCACUCGAGGCAGAAAUUGCAUGUAAUCCUGUGACUUCUUCAUAUGCACUCCAUUCAUGCAGCUCAUUCUUGGAGAAAAGAUACACAAGAGAGACCAAACCAAACAGAUCUGUGACUCAAGUCUUUACAACACAAGCCACAGUACAAGGAGAAAAAACUAAGUCAAGUGACACAAGGAUAAAGGUGGCCUGCAUGUUCUGCAAAGAUGAAAGUCAUCAGUUGUCAAAGUGCCCAAGCUUCUCAGAAAAGUCACUAGACCACAAAUGGACAUUUGUGAAGGACAAUAAACUGUGCUACGGCUGCUUAAAGGUGGGCCACAAUGCCAGAGACUGUAGUCAUCGCCACAAAUGUAACACUUGCAAAGGACGACACCCCACCUGUUUGCACAAUGAGAGUCACAUGGCAAACGAAAGGCCUCAGAGCUCUAUAAACGUCGCUUCAACCACGGAAAAUGACACCAUGGCAGCCACAGCUCUGAAUGUUACUAAGGUGGGUCAAUCAGGUAGUACCUCCAUGAUUGUUCCUGUGUGGGUUUCCUCUACCCAGAGUCCAUCUAAAGAGCAGCUUGUGUACGCGUUAUUAGACACACAAAGUGACAACACAUUUGUCAGUGAGGAGGUAACUAACCAGUUACAAGCAGUAUCCCAUCCAGUUAAGCUAAAACUAACUACGAUGCUGGGAGUUCACAUGACAGUCAAAAGUCAGAGAGUAGCAGGGUUACGUGUGAGAGGUUAUAAUUCAGAUGUCCACAUUGACCUUCCACCCUCCUACACAAAGGACUACAUUCCAUUUAACUAUGACAACAUACCCACAAAUGAAACUGCAAAACAAUGGCCCCAUCUGUCAGAGAUCGUUGAUCAGAUACCUCCUCUCCUGAGUUGUGAUGUUGGACUGCUCAUUGGAUUUAACUGUCCCAGAACUCUAGCUCCAAAACAGGUUCUACUCGGAAAGGACAAUGAGCCAUUUGCAAUACAGACAGAUCUAGGGUGGAGCAUUGUUGGUGGCUCUACAUCAGAGCCAAAUGAAACUGAAGCAAGUCUGUGCCAUAGAGUCAUGGUAAAGGAAAUGCCUGCUGUAACACCAAUGGACGUGAUCAAUGUUCUUGAAUCAGAUUUCAAGGACACAAAGGCAUGUGAAAAAACGGUCUCACAAGAGGAUCUCGUUUUUCUGGAAAAACUUAAGGAAGGGAUAAAGAAAAACGAACAAGGACACUGCGAGAUGCCUCUUCCAUUCAAGCAAAGGCCAAACUUACCAGACAACAAAAGACUUGCAGAGAUCAGACUGGAACACUUAAGGAGAAGGUUGAACAAGGAUGAGAACUACAAAAAUGAUUAUGUUGCAUACAUGAACGACAUAAUUGAAAGAGGAGACGUGGAAGAAGUACACAAUGAAGGAAUACAAGGUGAACAAUGGUACAUCCCCCAUCAUGGGAUUUACCACCCCAAAAAGCCCACAAAACUGCGUGUCGUAUUUGACUGUUCAGCCAAACACAAUGGAACUAGUCUCAAUGAUCAUCUCCUCCAAGGGUCAGACUUAAUAAACAAUCUGACUGGCAUUCUCUUGAGAUUCCGGCAACAUCCUAUUGCCUUAAUGUGCGAUAUAGAAAAGAUGUUCCACCAGUUUCACGUCAGUGAGAGGGACCGGGACUAUCUACGUUUCCUCUGGUGGAAAAACGGUGAUACAAGCACACAACCUCAAACAUACAGAAUGUAG
ensembl:lncRNA